GUUUUUAUAGUUUAAAAAAAACUUUGGUUUUGUAAUCCAAUGAUAAGAAUAUUCUUUAAAAACU
rnacentral:tRNA from 1 species